AGAGUUCGAUCUUGGCUCAGGAUAUAAACGCUGUCAGCAUGCUUAACAUGUGCAAAUCGGAUGGGAAGUGGUGUUUCCAGGGGCGGACAGGUGAGUAACACGUAAGAACCUGCCCUUGGGAGGGGAACAACAACUGGAAACAGCUGCUAAUACCCCAUAGGCUAAGAAGCAAAAGGAGGAAUUUGCCAGAGGAGGGGAUUGCAUCUGAUUAGUUAGUUGGUAAGACAAUAGCCUACCAAGGCAAUGAUUAGUAGCUAGUCUGAGAGGAUGAUCAGCCACACUGGGACUAAGACAUGGCCCAGACUCCUACGGCAGGCAGCAGUUGGGAAUUUUUCGCAAUGGGCACAAGCCUGACGAAGCAAUGCCGCAUAGAGGUAGAAGGCCCAUAGGUUGUGAACUUCUUUUCCCGAAGAAGAAAUAAUGAUAGUAUCUAGAGAAUAAGCAUUAGCUAACUCUGUGCCAGCAGCCGCGGUAAGACAGAGGAUGCAAGCGUUAUCCAAAAUGAUUGGGCGCAAAGCAUCUGUAGGUUGCUUUUUAAGUCCGCCGUCAAAUCCUAGGGCUCAACCUUGGACAGGCGGUGGAAACUACCAAGCUGGAGUACGGUAGGGACAGAGGAAAUUUUCAGUGGAGCAGUGAAAUGCGUAGAGAUCGGAAAGAACAUCAACGGUGACAGCACUCUGCUGGGUCGACACUGACACUGAGAGACGAAAGCUAGGGGAGCGAAUGGGAUUAGAUACCCCAGUAGUCCUAGUCGUAAAGGAUGUAUACUAGGCACUGUGCGUAUCGACCCGUGCAGUACUGUAGCUAACAUGUUAAGUAUCCCACUUGGGGAGUACGUUCACAAGAAUGAAACUUAAAGGAAUUGACGGGGGCUCGCACAAGCAGUGGAGCAUGUGGUUUAAUUCGAUGCAAAGUAAAGAACCUUACCAAGGCUUGACAUGCCAUGAAUCCUCUUGAAAGAGAGGGGUGCCUUCGAGAAUGCGGACACAGGUGGUGCAUGGCUGUCGUUAGCUCAUGUCGUAAAGUGUUGAGUUAAGUCUCACAAUGAGCAUAAACCUCACGUUUAGUUGUCAUCGUUAAGUUUGGAACCCUGAACAGACUACCGGUGAUAAGCCGAGGAAGGUGAGGAUGACGUUAAGUCAUCAUGCCCCUUAUACCCUAGGCAACACACGUGCUACAAUAGCCGAGACAAAUGGUCGCAAUCCCACGAGGUUGAGCUAACCCCAAAAAACCCGUCCUCAGUUCGGAUUGCAGGCCGUAACUCGCCUACAUGAAGCUAAAAUCGCUAGUAGUCAUCGGUCAGCUAUACGACGGUAAAUUCAUUCCCGAGCCUUGUACACACUGCCCAUCACACUAUAGGAGCUGGCCAUGCCCAAAGUCGUUACCUCAAAGGCAAGAAGGGGGAUGCCGAAGGCAGGGCUAGUGGCUGGAGUGAAGUCGUAACAAGGUAGCCGUACCGGAAGGUACGGCUG
rnacentral:rRNA from 1 species